rnacentral:rRNA from 1 species
UACGUAGGGGGCAAGCGUUGUCCGGAAUCAUUGGGCGUAAAGAGCGUGUAGGCGGCUCGAUAAGUCUGCUGUGAAAGUCCAGGGCUCAACCCUGGAAGGCCGGUGGAAACUGUCGGGCUAGAGUCCGGGAAGAGGCGACUGGAAUUCCUGGUGUAGCGGUGGAAUGCGCAGAUAUCAGGAGGAACACCGAUGGCGAAGGCAGGUCACUGGGCCGCAACUGACGCUGAGGAGCGAAAGCAUGGGGAGCGAACAGG